rnacentral:rRNA from 1 species
CCUACGGUGAGCAGCAGUGGGGGAUAUUGCACAAUGGGGGCAACCCUGAUGCAGCGACGCCGCGUGUGGGAAGACGGUCCUCUGGAUUGUAAACCACUGUCCCCAGGGACGAAAAUGACGGUACCUGGGGAGGAAGCUCCGGCUAACUACGUGCCAGCAGCCGCGGUAAUACGUAGGGAGCGAGCUUUGUCCGGAAUUACUGGGUGUAAAGGGAGCGUCGGCGGUGAUGCAAGUUGGGGGUCAAAACUCCCGGCUCAACUGGUAGUCGCACUCAAAACUGCAGAUCUUGAGUGAAGUAGAGGCAGGCGGAAUGCCUAGUGUAGCGGUGAAAUGCGUAGAUAUUAGGAGGAACACCAGUGGCGAAGGCGGCCUGCUGGGCUUUUACUGACGCUGAGGCUCGAAAGUGUGGGGAGCAAACAGGAUUAGAUACCCGAGUAGUC